rnacentral:lncRNA from 1 species
ACAAAGAAAGAGAAGAAGAAAGAGAAGAAGAAGAAGGAGGAGAAGAAAAAGGAGAAGAAGAAGGAAGCUAGGAGCAUCUUCCUCUCCCUCUCCUCUUCCCUUUGGUGUAGCUCAAGAGGUAAGCUACAACCCUAGCUUUGUAAAUUUAGGGUUUUUGGGUUUUAUGCCUUGGAAUGGGUCAAAUGGACCCUAAGCUAGCUUCUAAAUAGAUCAAUCCCAAGAAUCUAGGAAUUUAUUGGGUGGUUUGCUAUAGGUGCAAACCUAGGGCUCCAACAUGGGGUUUUUGUAAAAGUAU